UUAUGCCUGGCUCCCUGUAUGCCACAAGCUAGAGUUCAUUCCCUUCCAUGGAUUGGCUAUUGCCGGUGGCGUGCGAGGAGCCAAGCAUAC
rnacentral:pre_miRNA from 1 species